rnacentral:rRNA from 1 species
GGGAACUGAAAGGACCGACCCUUCGGGGAGCCUAUACAGGUGUUGCAUGGCUGUCGUCAGCUCGUGUCGUGAGAUGUUCGGUUAAGUCCGCUAACGAGCGCAACCCUCGUCGUAUGUUAUAUGUGUCAUACGAGACUGCCGGUAAAAAGCCGGAGGAAGGUGAGGAUGAUGUCAAGUCAGCAUGACCUUUAUAUCCAGGGCUACACACACGCUACAAUGGUCUGUACAAUGGGUAGCCAAGCCGCGAGGCGGAGCCAAUCCUGAAAGCAGGCCUCAGUUCAGAUUGCAGUCUGCAACUCGACUGCAUGAAGCCGGAGUUGCUAGUAACCGCAGGUCAGCUAUACUGCGGUGAAUACGUUCCCGGGGCUU